UACAGAGGGUGCGAGCGUUAAUCGGAAUUACUGGGCGUAAAGGGCGCGUAGGCGGUAAUGUAAGUCAGAUGUGAAAGACCUUGGCUCAACCAGGGAACUGCAUUUGAAACUGCAUAACUAGAGUAUGGUAGAGGAAAGUGGAAUUUCCGGUGUAGCGGUGAAAUGCGUAGAUACCGGAAGGAACAUCAGUGGCGAAGGCGACUUUCUGGACCAAUACUGACGCUGAGGCGCGAAAGCGUGGGUAGCAAACAGG
rnacentral:rRNA from 1 species